AUUGAACGCUGGCGGCAGGCCUAACACAUGCACGUCGAGCGAGCGGCGGACGGGUGAGUAAUGCCUGGGAAUUCCCCAGUCGAGGGGGAUAACAGUUGGAAACGACUGCUAAUACCGCAUACGACUGUAUUCCCCAGGUGGGUUUCGCUAGGUGGUGAGGAAAUGGCUCACCAAGGCCACGAUCCCUAUGUGGUCUGAGAGGAUGAUCAGCCACACUGGAACUGAGACACGGUCCAGACUCCUACGGGAGGAAGCAGUGGGGAAUAUUGAACAAUGGGGGAAACCCUGAUGCAGCCAUGCCGCGUGUGUGAAGAAGGCCUUCGGGUUGUAAAGCACUUGCAGCGAGGAGGCGUUACUCGCAGAAGAAGCACCGGCUAACUCCGUGCCAGCAGCCGCGGUAAUUC
rnacentral:rRNA from 1 species